rnacentral:tRNA from 1 species
GUACUAAUUACCUCUCCAGUUGGUUAGAGCGUGGUGCUAAUAACGCCAAGGUCGCGAGUUCGACCCUCGUAGUGACCA